ACAUCAUGGCGGUGACCUCGAUCAGCAUUGAGGAUGAGACCCGAUCCUCUGGGGUAAGGGUUGGCAUGGGGGCGGCCUAGGAAAGGUAUAUUGUCAAAAUUAUGCUGCCGAACGGAACCUUAUGGAUCUAGGGCUUCAUCCUCUAGGUCUAGACCGGGGUAAGGGGCGACACUAUCGUCUUUGGAUCCAUUGAUCCUUUGUAAGGAGGUUUCAACUGAAUCGAGUCGGGUGGUCAAGUCUUCGACCGCCUUCAUUAGGGCUUCGAUGCGGGCAUCCAUAGUAGAUUGGGAUUCAGAAUGCGGAAUGAUACAACCACUACGAAGAUGCAUAAGAUGAAUGACUCAAUUAUGUGCUAUCCUAUCAAAUGAGGACAAUAUUACCUUUGAUGCAGACCAAAUGCAUGCAAUGAAUUUUAAUUGUCAAUAUGUAUGCUCAAUAUAAACUCUAGGCUAAUUCGUAGUAGGGAAGUAUUUCAAACUAGAAACUAGUAAGUGAAGCAAGCCGGCAAGUAGCUGCAGUUAAGUAGUAUGGGUCCCUGUGGAUUGUCGGAUGUCACAGAGCCUCGUAGGUCUUCCAACGAAGGUUUAGCUCUACAAUUAAUAAUAAAGGGGGCUACUAUUAGGGUUUAUGUGUGUUUCAUGGGAGUGUGUGAAGCAUGUGUUUUGGAAUUUUCGGGAAAGGAUAAAUUUAAAUAAGCAAAUUAAUUGCCAGGAAAGGAUAAACUUGAUCCGGCAGUGACGACCCAAGUGCGGCAAGCCGGCUCGCUAAUCGGCGCAAAUCUGGCCUGCUGGGCCGUGGUCCAAAGGGAGGAGGGAGAAAGGCAAGCUGCAGUGGGCUCUGCAGUGGCGUUGCAGGCCUGUGGGCUUGGGCCCGUGAGGAGGAAGUCGGGACGGGCUGCAGUCGCAGUGCGGGCCUGAAGUCUUGGCCCGUGAAGAUGGAAUCGAGGCGGAAGUGGGCAGUGGGCCU
rnacentral:lncRNA from 1 species